CGGUAAACCGAGGGAAGGUGGCUCAGGGAGGGAGGUCAAGCCGGUAGUCUAUCUGUAGUAUAGCAGCCGCACACACCUUGUUGGAUUGAAGCCUGUGGAUUUAUUCCCUGUGAGCGCCAGCGACUGUUGGACCGUUCACCCUCACGUUCACCCUCACGUUCACCCUGUCGUUCACCCUCACGUUCACCAUAUGGGACAAGUAAACACACACAAGAAUGAACGAGUGUCAAUAACGAGGCGUAAUAAUAUACCAAGAAGAAAUACCCUUGUGUGACGCCCCUGAGUGGGUGUUACAGUACUCAUAACCUUACCUGCAGCUUAGACAGGCGGGAACAAAACCAAGUAUUCCUAUAUUACAUUGUGUUUUGUCAUAAGCAACAAGACAGAACAGUGGCGGAGGGACAGUAAACUUGUAUUCAGUUAAAUGUGCAGUCAUGGUGAAUAGUUGAGUAACAUACCGCUCCGUGCUUACUGUUUUUAGUGUUAUUCAUCUAUCUUAAGUCCUUUAAUGUGCUGACUAAUUAGGAUAAAGAGACUCGUGAGGAGGGAAGUUGUUGUGUGAACAGGACGUAAAUGCUGCGUUGUCUGUGAUGUAUAAAAAUAAGAGUGGGAAGGGGAAGAUUUUACUUACGUUUGUUUCGUUUUAGCAUGAGCGGAAGGUUCCAGCCAGUGUCGUUAGUGCAAUAAAAAUUUUAACAUAGGGAAAAGUGCUACAGAAGCUUAACGUAGAAAUAUUCUGACGUCAAAGAAAAAAGUUGAACACAAAGAUAAUCUCUUUGUCUGAGCAUGAGUGUUUGUAAUCAGAAUAAAAAUGGUUCUGAAAAAAAUAAAUAAAAAUGUAUGUAAAAUGUAUCUGGAUGAGUUUUGUGAGACCAAACUAAACAGCAAGGGAGAAGAAAAUAUUUGAGUCAGAUUUGAAGAGUAAAAUCAGUCUUGGCUGGAAAAGUUAGUGGGAAAGAAUGUAGUUAGGUAUUAUUAUGAACGAUCCGCCGCUGGAAGGUUAAGAAGGUAAAGGAGGCGCAUUAUUUUAAGGAUAAGAACAAAAACACACGAGGAGAGAUAGAUAAGCAUUAGAGCUUAUGAGCCUGCGAGUGGGAAGAAGUGGAGAGGGAGAGAGAAAAUCCUUGGGGAUUCCAGACAUUUAUUAGAAAAAUUUAGCGAAAUGAAGUGACUGCAAUAAAUCUUAACACGAGAGAAGAGAACAGUGGAUAGAUAUGAAAGAAAAGAAAUGGAGAAGGAGAGAAGGAGAGAAAUUCUUUGCAGAUUUCAGCGACUUAACAAUAUGUAGAAUGUUUAAACGGUGAAGAGGGUGAACUGGGUAACUGAUGCCGAAAUAAGAGACACUAUAAAGAAUGAGAGAGUUCGAUAAGUGAAAAGAAGUAAACGAGAAAUACAUUCUUAGAGGUUUCACAUACUUAUCAGAUAAUGUUAAUGGAGUGAAGUGACUUGUCUAGGAAUUUCAGGUGAAAAAAUAGCAAAACACCCCUACUUUAAUAUAAUAGGUUGCGGAGGCAGAAAAAAGAAAAGGCCAGUAACAUCUUAACCUAAAAGAAGACAAGAUGAAAGACGGACAGCCGGUAUUUCAGCUAGAUCAGAUUGCAUGAGCUUGGGUGUUCUGGGUCAUUGCCCUCAAUUACAAAUAUUCUCCUUCCUCCGCCGCUGCCUCCUACUCGCUGCUGCUCAUGAUGGAGUGUGCCUCUCCCGUGUGUGUGGGAGGCUUUCACACACACGGGAUUACCAAAUAGAGUCAGGUCAAAAUUCAUCAUCUCAUUGUCUCCUACUACCGCGUACGCUUAAUUAAUCACAAGACCAACAAGUGUUUUUACCCUUCCCACGAACAAUACCAGCUUUAUUUUGUACCUUUGCGCUCGCCCCGCCUCUCUCUCUCUCUCUCUCUCUCUCUCUCUCUCUCUCUCUCUCUCUCUCUCUCUCUCUCUCUCUCUCUCUCUCUCUC